GUCAAUGGAGGCAACUCUGAACCAGCCAUGCCGCGUGAAGGAUUAAGGCCCUCUGGGUUGUAAACUUCUUUUAUAUGGGAAGAAAUGUACUUUUUCUAAAGUGCUUGACGGUACCAUAGGAAUAAGCACCGGCUAACUCCGUGCCAGCAGCCGCGGUACUACGGAGGGUGCAAGCGUUAUCCGGAUUUACUGGGUUUAAAGGGUGCUUAGGCGGAUGAAUAAGUCAGUGGUGAAAUCUCCGAGCUUAACUCGGAAACUGCCGUUGAUACUACUUGGCUUGAAUAUUGGUGAGGUAAGCGAAAUAUGUCAUGUAGCGGUGAAAUGCUUAGACAUGACAUAGAACACAAAUUGCCAAGACAGCUUGCUACACAAUCAUUGACGCUGAGGCACGAAAGCGUGGG
rnacentral:rRNA from 1 species